rnacentral:rRNA from 1 species
AUUGAACGCUGGCGGCAGGCCUAACACAUGCAAGUCGAGCGAGCGGCGGACGGGUGAUUAAUGUCUGGGAAACUGCCUGAUGGAUGGGGAUCACUACUGGAAACGGUAGCUAAUACCGCAUACCAUCAGAUGUGCCCAGAUGGGAUUAGCUAGUCGUUGGGGUAACGGCCCACCUAGGCGACGAUCCCUAGCUGGUCUGAGAGGAUGAUCAGCCACACUGGAACUGAGACACGGUCCAGACUCCUACGGGAGGCAGCAGUGGGGAAUAUUGGACAAUGGGCGAAAGCCUGAUGCAGCCAUGCCGCGUGUAUGAAGAAGGCUUUCGGGUUGUAAAGUACUUUCAGCGGGGAGGCGUUACCCGCAGAAGAAGCACCGGCUAACUCCGUGCCAGCCGCCGCGGUAAUAC